ensembl:lncRNA
CUGAGAACUGGUUGAAGAAACAGACUGAAUUGAAACACUCAAACCUCCUGUACUUUGCAGUUUUGCUCAGAGUCCUGGUGGCAGCGAUAGUCAGCCACUAAUUUAUCUGGUGCUACCAGCCUUGCUAUUUUCUUGGCUUGUUGUUGCCUGUGCUGGAGCCCAGAAAUCGAUGAGUCAAUUGAGAGGUGAGUCAAAGCAAAGCCGCCAGCAAAAGCAGGCUAUUAACUUGUCUAAAGUAUCAUAAAUUAUGCCCAGAGCAGCAGAUCUGUGUAUUGUAAAACCAAAAAAAAAAAGUUCUUGUUUGUAAGCAAGACAUCAAUACCUAGUAAUCUUCUAUCCCAGUUUCUUUUCUUCCCCACUAAGCAGUUACAUUGGAGAAGGCAAUGGCACCCCACUCCAGUACUCUUGCCUGGAAAAUCCCAUGGAUGGAGGAGCCUGGUAGGCUCCCGUCCAUGGGGUCGCUAAGAGUCAGGCACGACUGAGCAACUUUCACUUUUCACUUUCAUGCGUUGGAGAAGGCGGUGGCCACCCACUCCAGUGUUCUUGCCUGGAGAAUCCCAGGGAUGGGGGAGCCUGGUGGGCUGCCGUCUCUGGGGUCGCACAGAGUUGGACACGACUGAAGCGACUUAGCAGCAGCAGCAAGCAGUUACAUGCUGUCUCCUUUUAAGCAUAGUUGAAAAAGCAUGCUUUAACUUUUUUUGAAUGAUCGCAGGGCUAUAAAUGGGCUUCCCAGGUGGCACUAGUGGUAAGGAACCCACCUGCCAAUGCAGAGACAUAAGAGACACCGGUUCAAGCCCUGAGUCAGGAAGAUCCCCUGGAAGAGGGCAUGGCAAGAAUACUGGAGUGAGUUGCCAUGCCCUCCUCCAAGGGAUCUUCCCAACCCAGGGAUUGAACUUGUGUCUCUUAUGUCUCUUGAACUGGAAGGCAGAUCCUUUAUCCCUAGCACGGGUUCUACCAAAGAGGUGGGUGUUAUCGAAGGGAAAGCUUGCGGUCCCCUGCAACAGGGAGUAAAGGUAGAGCUUUCUUGAUUCAGUUUGUGAUUCAUGAG